rnacentral:rRNA from 1 species
ACUCCUACGGGAGGCAGCAGUGGGGAAUUUUGGACAAUGGGGGCAACCCUGAUCCAGCCAUGCCGCGUGCAGGAUAAAGGCCUUCGGGUUGUAAACUGCUUUUGUACGGAACGAAAAGACUCUUUCUAAUAAAGAGGGUUCAUGACGGUACCGUAAGAAUAAGCACCGGCUAACUUCGUGCCAGCAGCCGCGGUAAU